AGGCUGCCCGUGGCUGUGAGUGGGUGCUUUCUUCUGCAGCUGAACAGCUGCACUGCAGUAAAGUCACUGCUCACAGCCUGUCCCACCUUCUGGUCCCUGCCUCUCUGCUGGAGCUUCUGAUCCGACAACAGAGGAAGAAGACAGCUGCUUGUUGUUAUGUCUGAUACUUUCUGAAUCACUGGUAACGGUGUUAAGAGGAGAAGCCCCAUCCCAUAAGAGCCAAACUUCUGCACCUCCCUCUGAAGCAGGGGUUAUGGACUGCACCUCGAGACUGACCAAAGCCUGAGGUUCUUGCCCCAAACGAUCGAAGUUGGGGACGUCCGUGGUCUGUGUGCCAGUGGCUGCUGUUUUGCUCCCGAAUCGAGGUCGUCUUCCAAGCAGCGUUGCCACCAUUCACCGUGUCGCUGGUAUCCAUCAGUGUUGUUUUGUCGUGGUUGUGCUGCGAAAUAGAUAAUGCCUUUUAGAAACAGAAAAGCUUCUGUAAACUGCCUUCGAGCUGUUACUUAUUUCACACAUGUCUGGGAAGGAGAACAAAGAGCUAAGUCCAGUGCAGAGCAGCCCACAUAAGAGUCAUUUAUUUGUGUUUUGUGCCAAAGUAGCGCUGUGUUAGGUGGGGAUGAGGUGGCAAUAUGCAAGUCAGUGCACACAAACAUAGUGUUGCUAAGUUUGACCGUAAUGCCUUAGGAAAAUUAAUUUGCUGUACAGCCCCUGUGUAAAAAUUAUUAUAGUUGUUGCAAUAGCAAACGCAGUUGUUAAGGCAGAGGUCUAAUCCCCACUCUAAUAACUUUUGCUAAUAACUUUCUCAAACUUUUUGCUCUGAAAUUUUCCAUGCUUCUUGUUAGCCCUAAGGUGAAUUUUUUGGAAAGUCAGAGAGGAUUUUGAAUUAUGAGAGCACGAAUAAAGUACAUUUUCCUCCUUG